UAACACUAGCAUGUGCUUUUCAUAUAAAACUGCACAAAAUCCUCACAUCUUUUUCAUUUUCUGAGAUCCUAAACUUACUCUCUCUUUAUAUAAACACUGAACAGGAAAGGAAACUGCAUCGACAUCCCUUUGAUGCACAAAGAACGUAGCCUUAAAAUCCUCAUCCACCCAAACGGUGAGAAGGAAAUUUUACCUAAACUACGCAACUAUGUUAGUGGGAUGAGCAUAGAGCCUCCUCAGGAUCUUGGUUGCAACUAGAAUGUUUUCCCUACCGUUUGAUUCAGCUUUUGUACAUUGUGAGGUCCACCUUGCGAAGAUAAGGAGCUCCGUCCAUGGAAACUUUGACAAAUGCCCCAGAAGCAGUGCUGCUUGUUGUCUUCUCAGCUCCAUCCUCACUGGUGGCCAACCAACCA